rnacentral:rRNA from 1 species
GUGUCAGCAGCCGCGGUAAUACGGAGGGUGCAAGCGUUGUUCGGAAUUAUUGGGCGUAAAGCGCGUGUAGGCGGUCUUUUAAGUCUGAUGUGAAAGCCCCGGGCUCAACCUGGGAAGUGCAUUGGAAACUGGGAGGCUUGAGUACGGGAGAGGAGAGUGGAAUUCCUAGUGUAGGAGUGAAAUCCGUAGAUAUUAGGAGGAACACCGGUGGCGAAGGCGGCUCUCUGGACCGAUACUGACGCUGAGACGCGAAAGCGUGGGUAGCAAACAGGAUUAGAUACCCUGGUAGUCCACGCCGUAAACGAUGAGUACUAGGUGUUGCGGGUAUUGACCCCUGCAGUGCCGUAGCUAACGCAUUAAGUACUCCGCCUGGGAAGUACGGUCGCAAGACUAAA